rnacentral:rRNA from 1 species
AUGAACGCUGGCGGCGUGCCUAAUACAUGCAAGUCGAGCGAACGGACGAGAAGCUUGCUUCUCUGAUGUUCGCGGCGGACGGGUGAGUAACACGUGGAUAACCUACCUAUAAGACUGGGAUAACUUCGGGAAACCGGAGCUAAUACCGGAUGAUAUUUUGAACCGCAUGGUUCAAAAGUGAAAGACGGUCUUGCUGUCACUUAUAGAUGGAUCCGCGCUGCAUUAGCUAGUUGGUAAGGUAACGGCUUACCAAGGCAACGAUGCAUAGCCGACCUGAGAGGGUGAUCGGCCACACUGGAACUGAGACACGGUCCAGACUCCUACGGGAGGCAGCAGUAGGGAAUCUUCCGCAAUGGGCGAAAGCCUGACGGAGCAACGCCGCGUGAGUGAUGAAGGUCUUCGGAUCGUAAAACUCUGUUAUUAGGGAAGAACAUAUGUGUAAGUAACUGUGCACAUCUUGACGGUACCUAAUCAGAAAGCCACGGCUAACUACGUG